rnacentral:rRNA from 1 species
CCUACGGGGUGCAGCAGUGGGGGAUAUUGGACAAUGGGGGGAACCCUGAUCCAGCGACGCCGCGUGAGUGAAGAAGUAUCACGGUAUGUAAAGCUCUAUCAGCAGGGAAGAAGAAAUGACGGUACCGGAGUAAGAAGCACCGGCUAACUACGUGCCAGCAGCCGCGGUAAUACGGAGGGGGCAAGCGUUAUCCGGAAUUACUGGGUGUAAAGGGAGCGUAGACGGGGAUGUAAGUCUGGAGUGAAGGCCGGGGGCCCAAGCGCCGAACUGCUAUGGAGACUAUGUGACUGGAGUGCAGAUGAGGUGGGCGGAAUGUGUGGUGUAGCGGUGAAAUGCGUAGAUAUUAGGCGGAACACCAGUGGCGAAGGCAGCUCACUGAACUGUAAUUGACGUUGAGGCUCGAAAGCGUGGGGAGCAAACAGGAUUAGAUACCCUUGUAGUC